ACACACUCUCUCUCUCUCUGUUGCUCCUCCGGUGCGUGCGCGCGUGUGUGUGCGGAGGCAUAUUGACUCCGCGCCUGUGGUCAGCCUCUUGUCCUAGGGGAGAAGUGAUGAUUCAGUGGUGAGAUGUGCCACCUUCCACCGAGUUAAAUUACGUCAACUUAUCGCCUCAUCUCCACUAUCCCGCACGACAGCUGGCGCGAUUCGCCUCGGAAAGAACACAGUGGAGUGGAGGAAGAGAGAGAGAGAGAGAGAGUUUUCCUAAAGACGCUAAGCAGGGUGCAGGUGGAUACCCAAGACUGCUCCAGAAUGAGGGCUUUAGGGAGGACGUGUUAGAUCUGUCCUUCGUCUGCGCCGCAACACUACAGAGGUGUCCAGAGGUGUCCUGAGGUGUCCAGAGGUGUCCUGACGUGUCCUGAGGUGUCCAGUCCUGUCAUGUCGUGGCUGCUGUGGCUGUGGGUGGGCGUGGCAGGGCUGUCACUCUCCCUGUGCCAGGCCACCUUCUACCACACCAUCAAGUAUCCGCACCUCACCCGCCCUGGACGCAACACCAUCCAGAUCAUAGAAGGCGGGACAUGCGAGGUGAUUGCUGCUCACAGGUGCUGCAACAAGAACAAGAUCGAGGAGCGAUCUCAGACCGUGAAGUGCUCUUGUCUCCCGGGGAAGGUGGCAGGGACCACACGCAACAAGCCUUCCUGCGUCGACGCCUCCAUUGUGAUUGGGAAGUGGUGGUGUGAGAUGGAGCCAUGCCUGGAGGGGGAGGAGUGCAAGACGCUGCCAGACAACUCAGGAUGGAUGUGUUACUCUGGCAACAAGAUCAAAACCACCCGGAACACCCAGCCUUACUCCUCUCUGUAGCUGGAGAAGCCAUAUUGAAACCGUCACAGCGAGAGCAACAUCCAACGGAUCAGCUGGUGUGAACCCACCCAAACACUCCCCCCUCCUGGAGACCUCCUCUCCUGGGAUCCUACCCCCUCUGCGACUAAUCAAGUGGGACAGGGUUUUUUUUUUGCGUGGAAGAACAUGGAUUACUCCGACCAUAAAGCAGUGCAGAGACUGAGGCGUGCGCCCGGCUGAGGAGAGACAUUUCCUCAUUUCCUGGAGCCCUGUGUCAGCCGAUGUCGUCCGUCAGAUGCUGCGAUGAUGGCCGAUAGUGCGGCCCUGCCUGUCCUCAGCUGCAGCAGUAGCACAACAGAGUUGUUGGAUUACCAAUCCCCUGCUCGACACUCGAGGUCAAUUCAGCAAAGACUAGCCGCAAGUCCACCCUCAGAACCUCUAUGGAUUUUAUUUUCAGACAUAACUGGUGUGACCCCUUUCCCCAUUUUAGACUGCAGCGUUGGCUGAACACAUGUACUCUACCUGAGGGAAAUAGGGACAGGUGAACACAUGUACUCUACUCUACCUGAGGGAAAUAGGGACAGGUGAACACAUGUACUCUACCUGAGGGAAAUAGGGACAGGUGAACACCUCUACUCUACCUGAGGGAAAUAGGGACAGGUGAACCGCAAAGAAUAAGUCGGAUUGGUCAUGUGACUUCUAGCUGUCUCAGCCAUCUGUAUAUAAUCAUCACAUCAUAUUAUUGUAUUAAUAGGCCAUCUGUAUAUAAUCAUCACAUCAUUAUUGUAUUAAUAGGCCAUCUGUAUAUAAUCAUUACAUCAUUAUUGUAUUAAUAGGCCAUCUGUAUAUAAUCAUUACAUCAUUAUUGUAUUAAUAGGCCAUCUGUAUAUAAUCAUUACAUCAUUAUUGUAUUAAUAGGCCAUCUGUAUAUAAUCAUCACAUCAUUAUUGUAUUAAUAGGCCAUCUGUAUAUAAUCAUUAC